AGAGUUUGAUCCUGGCUCAGGACGAACGCUGGCGGCAUGCCUAACACAUGCAAGUCUAGGGGUAGCAAUACCACUGGCGCACGGGUGAGUAACACGUAGGUUAUCUGCCCCCAUCACAGUGACAACCUCGGGAAACCGAGGCUAAACACUGAUGAGGCCGAGAGGUCAAAGCGAAAGCGGAUGGGGAUGAGCCUGCGGCUGAUUAGCUAGUUGGUGGGGUAAUGGCUCACCAAGGCGACGAUCAGUAGCUGGUCUGAGAGGACGAACAGCCACACUGGAACUGAGACACGGUCCAGACUCCUACGGGAGGCAGCAGUGAGGAAUAUUGGUCAAUGGGCGCAAGCCUGAACCAGCAAUGCCGCGUGUGGGACGACAGGGCUUCGCCUUGUAAACCACUGUCGGAUGGGACGAAAAGAGGUAAGAACCUCCGGGACGGUACCAUCAAAGGAAGGGUCGGCUAACUACGUGCCAGCAGCCGCGGUAAUACGUAGGACCCAAGCGUUGUCCGGAUUUACUGGGUAUAAAGGGUGCGUAGGCGGUCUUGUGCGUCAGAGGUGAAAUAUCCGGGCUUAACCCGGAGGGUGCCUUUGAUACGGCAGGACUUGAGUGCGAGAGAGGAUGAUGGAAUUCCUGGUGUAGCGGUGAAAUGCGUAGAUAUCAGGAGGAACACCGGUGGCGAAGGCGGUCAUCUGGCUCGUAACUGACGCUGAGGCACGAAAGCGCGGGGAUCAAACAGGAUUAGAUACCCUGGUAGUCCACGCCGUAAACGUUGGGAACUAGAUGUAGGGUCCAUUCCACGGAUUCUGUGUCGCAGCUAACGCAUUAAGUUCCCCGCCUGGGGAGUACGGCCGCAAGGCUAAAACUCAAAGGAAUUGACGGGGGCCCGCACAAGCGGCGGAGCAUGCGGAUUAAUUCGAUGCAACGCGAAGAACCUUACCAAGGCUUGACAUAUACCGGAAAAGCGUAGAAAUACGCUCCCCGUAAGGUCGGUAUACAGGUGGUGCAUGGUUGUCGUCAGCUCGUGUCGUGAGAUGUUGGGUUAAGUCCCGCAACGAGCGCAACCCUCGUCCUAUGUUGCCAGCACGUAAUGGUGGGAACUCAUGGGAGACUGCCGGGGUCAACUCGGAGGAAGGUGGGGGUGACGUCAAAUCAUCAUGCCCCUUAUGUCUUGGGCUUCACGCAUGCUACAAUGGCCGAUACAGAGGGCUGCAAUACCGCAAGGUGGAGCGAAUCCCAAAAAGUCGGUCUCAGUUCGGAUUGAGGUCUGCAACUCGACCUCAUGAAGUCGGAGUCGCUAGUAAUCGCAGAUCAGCAACGCUGCGGUGAAUACGUUCCCGGGCCUUGUACACACCGCCCGUCAAGUCAUGAAAGUCGGUAACACCCGAAGCCAGUGGCCUAACCGCAAGGAAGGAGCUGUCGAAGGUGGGAUCGGUGAUUAGGACUAAGUCGUAACAAGGUAGCCGUA
rnacentral:rRNA from 1 species